rnacentral:piRNA from 1 species
UCCUUCAGAAUACUGCUAUCGAUGUCAAC